rnacentral:rRNA from 1 species
AGACGGAGGGGGCUAGCGUUAUUCGGAAUUACUGGGCGUAAAGGGCGCGUAGGCGGAUUAGUAAGUUGGGAGUGAAAGCCCGGGGCUUAACCUCGGAACUGCUUUCAAAACUGCUAGUCUUGAGUGAAGUAGGGGGUGAUGGAAUUCCUAGUGUAGAGGUGAAAUUCUUAGAUAUUAGGAGGAACACCGGUGGCGAAGGCGGUCACCUGGACUUCAACUGACGCUGAGGCGCGAAAGCGUGGGGAGCAAACAGGAUUAGAAACCCCAGUAGUCC